rnacentral:pre_miRNA from 1 species
AAUAAACCAAUUUUUUACUUUUUACCUUUAAUUUUUGACUCUUCGUCUUAUUCAAAUUUUUUGUGUGAUUGAUAUUUUUAUUUUUAUUAGAUGAUAAAUCAUGAAUAAUACUUUACGUGUGACUAAUUUUUUUUAAUUUUUUAAAAUUUUUUUAAAUAAAACGGAUGGUCAAAGUUGUAUAAAAAACCAAAG